rnacentral:lncRNA from 1 species
ACUCAAACCCAAUAUUACACCAAUCCAAUCUCAAAACCUAAAAAAACCAAGCAGGAAAACCUAGAACCCUAAAGCCAUCCGUGCAGCAGCCUCCGCCUCGUCAGCAAGCUCGUCGCCCAAGGUCUGACGCCUCUUCUGCCCCUUUCACCGAAAUGGCAAGCCAGGGCCGUUGACAUUGUCAUGGAUACCUGCAAAGAAGGAAGAAAGAGACAAAAACAGAAGCAGAAAAGCAAAAACAAAAAAACAAAUAUUGUAAUCAAUCAGCUAUAAAAGCCUAAUGAACAUAUUGUAUUUUGAUAGAACAAGCAUAAGAGAGAAUAGAAAUUGCAAUAGUUCAAACAGAAGGUAGUUUUUUCUUUGUUAUUAUUAUUUUUUUGAAUCACGCAUAUAUAAAAAUAAAUAUUUUUUUUUACCUUUUUCGCCUUCAUCGGUAUCUCCUUUGGCCUGGAAGGCCGCGUCGAAGGAUGACCAGAGACCGAAAGGGUCCAUUUUUAUUGUUGAACAUUGACCGGAUCUAGGAAUUUUGACCCCAAAUUCAGGUUCCCCAGAAGACAGGGACAAAAAAGGUAACUUUUUGCAAUCUCUGGCCACCGAAGGCGGCAGUCUCCGUCGCUGAUGACCGGUGGCCAUGAAGGAGACUCACCGACACCAAGGCCGGAUAGGGAAGGGUUGAGAGAAAAAAAGAAGAAGGCUUAAAGUUUUUU